rnacentral:SRP_RNA from 1 species
GGCUGGGUCCUACGCGGCGGUAUGUUUGAAUCGUGUCAGGGCCGGAAGGCAGCAGCACUAAGGGCCUCUAUCGGGUGCCGUAGGCAAGCCCAGUCUGA